rnacentral:rRNA from 1 species
GGCGGACGGGUGAGUAAUGUCUGGGAAACUGCCUGAUGGAGGGGGAUAACUACUGGAAACGGUGGCUAAUACCGCAUAACGUCGCAAGACCAAAGAGGGGGACCUUUGGGCCUCUUGCCAUCAGAUGUGCCCAGAUGGGAUUAGCUUGUUGGUGAGGUAACGGCUCACCAAGGCGACGAUCCCUAGCUGGUCUGAGAGGAUGACCAGCCACAC